AGUCGCCUGGUCUGCGGGGCUGGUCCCGGUCGCUGCCCGCGAGUCGGCAGUUCGAGUCCCGCGGCGCCCCGGUCCCGCUACGAGCCGCAGCCAUGAGGGACGAGUUGGUCUGGUCCCGCGACACCCUGUAGACACACGCCGACUCCCAAGACCACACAGAGCCUUGCACGCCUCUGCAGUCUGCUGCCCUCCAGCCAGAAACCAGAAAAUGAAGAGUUGAGCCACUGUGUUCAAGUUCUAGCUGUGAACAUUUCACCUAGUUAAGGUGGCGAUGAAGCAGUCUUGACGCAGGCGUGAGCAGUGGACUGCGUGCGACCACUCGUCCGACACCACGGGUGAGUCGCACGUGGCACGGCUGCCUCCCCUCCGCCCGUCCACGCACUCUCCCUGCUGCGCACCGACGGACCAACUGCGCACUUUCAAACAAACAACCUUGGUUGUUACAACUUUUUAUUACUACAUUCCCGCAAGCAAUGUAGUUGUUUACAGAUGUACUGGGUCUAAAACAAGCUCGAUUGUACCCUUAGAAUGAACGUUAGAUUUAUUGCCAAACAAUCUGGUUUGAAAACUAAAGAGUCGGUUGAAAAAAAAAACUGGCCAGUAUUAGUUAAAACGUUUGAAUAGUACAGUUUGAAACUUUGAUAAAUUUUGUACAUUGGUUUAGCCAAAUAUGAAAAUGAAGUUGAACGAGGAUUAGAAAACAUUGUCGAAUGUUAAAAAAAAAAGUGUUUAGAAUAAAACAUUUUUAUGAAGGGGAACUAAGAAUACAUAACUGUUACCGUAUGUGCGUUGUACUAAUGGACGGAGUGUUCCAGAGACAUUCGAAAGACUUUAAAAGGACUUCACGUAGUGCUGUUGGCUACUUUUGAACGGGCGCUUUUGGCACCCCUGCCCAUUGUUCGCGCUAUCGACCGAAAUAGCGAGCUGAAAGGCUGGAGUGUUUAAUGUCCUUAGGAGCGCGUCGGGAGGUCCUUCGCGCCGGUAUUUUCAUCCCGGCCGUGACGUCAUCGGCCGCGCGGACAAUGCGCGGCGGCGCGCGUCAGCGCCACAAACACGACGCUAUAGCACAAACAACAACCUUCACAGGGCACAUCUGCACGCGCGUUCCAAGUGGUGCUAGCAGUUGAUGUAAUACACUCGACUGCGUUUGGAUUAAUAGUCAGCACAAGUAUCUCAGUUUGGCCACAUAACAUUUGUAAAAGUAGAGAACUUUUUUUUUUUUUUUUUGCUGCACAAUGGUCAUUAAUAUAGAGUAAAUAACAUGCACGAAGAACGAGUCUGAAUUCGCCUGACAAAUUUCGCCCGCAGCUUCAUCGCGACAAAAUAAGUUGAAAUUCUCUACAAGACGUAUGGUCUGAAGGGCUUCCCAAGGAUAUGGUAUACGCCUUUAAAUUAGGGGGUUGAACCAUAUUUUGAUCUUAAAAAUUAGAGAAAGUAUUCAAGAGGGAACUCUGAGCGUCUGAAUGAUUUUUAAUUAAAUGAUGUUCUACAAUCACUGCGAAUUUUGUUCUGUAGCAAAAUUAUUUCAUUAAAUUAAUUAUAACACCUUCCGCGUAUAUUUUUGUGACAGGUUGCUGCCUGCAGUUAUUUGACUGAAAUAAUUCUGCUACAACAACCAAAUAUGCGGUGAUUGUAGAACAUAAUUUAAUUAAAUAUAAUCACACGCUCAGUGUUCAAUCUGAAAAACUUUCUAUAUUAUUUACAGUUAAAAUGUUGUUCAGCAUCAACUUAAACGACGUAUACAAGUCUUGGGAAGCACUUUAUACCAGUUGUAUAAGUGUAUUCAACUAAUUUUAUUGUUGUGAACCUACAGCCUAAGUAUUUCAGUCGAAUUUAGACCCACUCUCUAUACCUAUAAGCUGAAGUAUUCGGUAUUUCCCGGGCUUUACGCAUCGUGAAGUGACGUAUUUUUUUUUAAAUUUUAGGUAGAGUAUUUCGAGCACAAAAUUUCAAUGUUUUAUUUCAGACCUUUUUACCACUGGUGGGUGGAUGAUGGGAGGAUUUUUAAAAAAAUCAAAUGACAGAAAUUUUCACUUUAUUUUGAAUGUCAACUGCGCUAAAUUUCAUCAAGAACUAACAACAAUUCUUUUUUCAAGGCUGGAAAUGUAGGAUUGGGUGGUUUUUUGAAAUGUACAUGUAUAAUUUGGCAUUAAAGAUAGACUUUAACUUGAAGUGAGGGAAGUAUUGUGUGUGGUGAAGGAUAGAUGUAGACAGUAAUUUUAGUCAAGAGUGCAAAAUUUCAAGAAGUGCGAAAUUAUUUUUUAAAGUAGCGGGGAUAUAGGAAUGGGUAAUGUAUUGAAAUAUCAUGUAGACAGGAUUUUCCUUGCUCCUUUUUCAAAAUUAAAUAUGGUGUGUAAUUUUUGUCGGGAGAGCACGAUUUCGUCAAGUUACAAAAUUCUGAUUUAUGGGUUGGGAAAUAGGGGAUAUGGUGGUUUUUCUAAAUCUCACGCAGGCAGUCUUUCGUCUUUUUGGUCAAGUGUGCAAACUUUCGUUAAAAUGUAUCAAAAUUAAGCUGUAAGUUGUGGGAAAGGAGGAUAGGCGGGAUUUUAGAAAUCUCACGUGGACAGCGAUCUUUCUUUCUUUUUUUUUCCUUGGAAACAGAUGCAGCCAGAAAUUUUUUUUACUAAAUUUCUCCAACGGGCAUAAUUUCAUCCAGAAGUAACAAAAUUAUGUUUUAUGGACUAGAAAGGCAGAGCCACGACCACCUUGCUGUUUCAUUUGACUCUAGACUAGAUUCAACUUGCUGUUUCAUUUCACUCCAGACUAUAUUCAAGUUGCAUGUAUUUAAUAAAGCCUUCUUAAGAGGCUCAUUGUCAAAUAACGAGGUCAUAUACUUUGGCGGGUUACACGCAAUUAUGUAAUUGCUCAUAACUGGCUCAAGGUCGCUAAAGGCGUGUCAAGAAGACUGUAGUCCAAUCAUAAACGUGAAGUACAAGUAUACGUGAUAUAAUAAUACUUUUCUGUCAAAUGAAUCUGUGAAAUAAUCAUGGUUAUAAAGAUAAAAUGUCCGAUUAAAUAUAGGUGAAAUUUAAGAGCCCAAUCCAUUUGUUUUCUCCGACUUAUAUUAGCCACCUAGUGUUUUAACCUUUCAUUUCCUAGUAAUUAUGUGACAAAAAAAAA